rnacentral:tRNA from 1 species
GGGGAUGUAGCUCAGUAGUGGAGCACUUGCUAGCAUGCAUGAAGCCCUGGGUUCCAUUCCCAGCACCACAA